GGUGGUCGCAAGCGAGGCCUGCACCGUUAUUGCCAUCACCAUAGUCUGAAGACCUACAGCAGGGCUCUGCCUGGCUCUGCGUCCCUCUGUCCAGUGGUGGUCGCAAGCGAGGCCUGCACCGUAAUUGCCAUCACCAUAGUCUGAAGACCUACAGCAGGGCUCUGCCUGGCUCUGCGUCCCUCUGUCCAGUGGUGGUCGGAAGCGAGAC